AUUGAACGCUGGCGGCAGGCCUAACACAUGCAAGUCGAACGAGUGGCGGACGGGUGAGUAAUGUCUGGGAAACUGCCCGAUGGAGGGGGAUAACUACUGGAAACGGUAGCUAAUACCGCAUACCAUCGAAUGUGCCCAGAUGGGAUUAGCUAGUAGUUGGGGUAAUGGCUCACAUAGGCGACGAUCCCUAGCUGGUCUUAGAGGAUGACCAGCCACACUGGAACUGAGACACGGUCCAGACUCCUACGGGAGGCAGAAGUGGGGAAUAUUGCACAAUGGGCGCCAGCCUGAUGCAGCCAUGCCGCGUGUACGAAGAAGGCCUUCGGGUUGUAAAGUACUUUCAGCGGAGAGGCGUUACCUGCAGAAGAAGCACCGGCUAACUCCGUGCCAGCCGCCGCGGUAAUAC
rnacentral:rRNA from 1 species